GAGCAAGAUAGCUCAGCUGCUUACAGCAUGAGACUCUUCAUCUCAAGGUUGUGGGUUUGAGUCCCAUGUUGCGCA